rnacentral:rRNA from 1 species
CAGUCGGCAAGUACCAUGAGCAGUCACGUUGGGACCCGAAAGAUGGUGAACUAUGCCUGGCCAGGAUGAAGCCAGAGGAAACUCUGGUGGAGGUCCGUAGCGAUUCUGACGUGCAAAUCGAUCGUCAGAGCUGGGUAUAGGGGCGAAAGACUAAUCGAACCAUCUAGUAGCUGGUUCCCUCCGAAGUUUCCCUCAGGAUAGCUGGAACUCGCUCAAAACAGAUGAAUUUCAUCCGGUAAAGCGAAUGAUUAGAGGUCUUGGGGACGAAACGUCUUCAACCUAUUCUCAAACUUGAAAUGGGUGAGAUGCCGAGCUUGCUUAGGAGAUGAAGCUUCGGCGAAGAAUCGGAGUUCCUAGUGGGCCACUUUUGGUAAGCAGAACUGGCGCUGUGGGAUGAACCAAACGUCGAGUUAAGGGGCCUAAACGAAUGCUCAUUCAGAUCCCAUCGAAAGGUGUUGGUUGCUAUAGACAGCAGGACGGUGGCCAUGGAAGUUGGAAUCCGCUAAGGAGUGUGUAACAACUCACCUGCCGAAGCAACUAGCCCUUAAAAUGGUAUGGCGCUAAAGCAUUCUCCCGAUACUCGACCGCCGGGGCAUUACCGACCGAACGAGCGGCCUUAUCAUCAUUAGGUCGUUCAGGUCUCGAAGCCCCGGCGAGUAGGAGGGUCGCGGUGGUGUGCGCUGAAGGGUUCGGCGUGAGCCGGCCUGGAGCCUCCACCGGUGCAGAUCUUGGUGGUAGUAGCAAAUAAUCGAGAGAGACUCCCUUGAAGGCCGAAGUGGAGAAGGGUUCCAUGUGAACAUCAGUUGGACAUGGGUUAGUCGCUCCUAAGCCCAAGGCGAAAGCCUGAUCCCACGUGAGAGGCAACGACCACACGAAGACGAUGAUUGAUUGAGUCGGUCACUACUGAGGCAGGCAGGCAGGGCUGAUCUGGUAGUCAGGAAUGCUCGUCCGUCCGUAGUAGACCUUCAUGUAUAACAGUUGCCAGAGGGAUUAGUGGCGAAAGGGAAUACGGUCAUUAUUCCGUAACCAGGACCCGGAUACCUAGCAGGUGUAAGCGCCCUUGCCUCCGGGCAGGGGAAUGCUGCCCUGUGCAGGACCCCGGUAACGGGAACCAGCUCGCGUCCGUCGGCGGUGGUCCGGGAAAGAGUUUUCUUUUCUGUUUAAGGCGCCGUGACCCUGGAAGCCAUUCGCGGAGAGAAAGGGUGCUUGUAACACGGUAAGCCGUAGAGCGCCGCGGUUCUUGCGGCGUCCCGCGCGCCACCGCCGGCCCGUGAAACAUGCGAGGGAGGUAACUGAGGUAAAGCGGACUCGACCAAAGUCCGCGACGCCUACUUUCGGGCCAGUGCGUACCCAUAUCCGCAGCCGGUCUCCGAG